rnacentral:rRNA from 1 species
GACGAACCGUGCGAACGUUAUUCGGAAUCACUGGGCUUAAAGCGCGUGUAGGCGGCCCGGCGCGUCGGACGCUGAAAUCCCCCGGCUCAACCGGGGAAGUGGCUCCGAAACGGCCGGGCUGGAGGGGGGUAGGGGGCGCUGGAACUCACGGUGGAGCGGUGAAAUGCGUUGAGAUCGUGAGGAACGCCCGCGGCGAAAGCGAGCGCCUGGACCCUUUCUGACGCUGAGACGCGAAAGCCAGGGGAGCGAACGGG